CGUGUAGGCGGCUUAACAAGUCAGAUGUGAAAUCCCUGGGCUUAACCCAGGAAGUGCAUUUGAAACUGUUUGGCUUGAGUAAGGGAGAGGAAAGUGGAAUUCCUGGUGUAGAGGUGAAAUUCGUAGAUAUCAGGAGGAACACCGGUGGCGAAGGCGACUUUCUGGCCCUAUACUGACGCUGAGACGCGAAAGCGUGGGUAGCAAACAG
rnacentral:rRNA from 1 species